rnacentral:rRNA from 1 species
ACACGUAGGGGGCGAGCGUUGUCCGGAAUUACUGGGCGUAAAGGGCGCGUAGGCGGCUUAAUAAGUCUGAUGUGAAACCCCUGGGCUUAACCCUGGGCGUGCAUUAGAAACUGUUAAGCUUGAGGACAGGAGAGGAAAGCGGAAUUCCCAGUGUAGCGGUGAAAUGCGUAGAUAUUGGGAAGAACACCAGUGGCGAAGGCGGCUUUCUGGACUGACCCUGACGCUGAGGCGCGAAAGCCAGGGGAGCGAACGGGAUUAGAUACCCCGGUAGUCCUGGCCGUAAACGAUGGAUACUAGGUGUGGGAGGUAUCGACCCCUUCCGUGCCGGAGUUAACACAUUAAGUAUCCCGCCUGGGGAGUACGGCCGCAAGGCUGAA